UUAGCGGACACCUGUGCUUCAUUCUGUGGA
rnacentral:piRNA from 1 species